AUUGAACGCUGGCGGCAGGCCUAACACAUGCAAGUCGAACGAAUGGCGGACGGGUGAGUAAUGUCUGGGAAACUGCCUGAUGGAGGGGGAUAACUACUGGAAACGGUAGCUAAUACCGCAUACCAUCAGAUGUGCCCAUAUGGGAUUAGCUUGUUGGUGGGGUAACGGCUGACCAAGGCGACGAUCCCUAGCUGGUCUGAGAGUAUGAACAGCGACACUGGAACGGAGACACUGUCCAGAGCCCUACGGGUGGCAGCAGUGGGGUAUAUUGCACAAAAAGUGCAAGCCAGAUGCAGCCAUGCGGCGUGUAUGAAGAAGGCCUUCGGGUUGUAAAGUACUUUCAGCGGGGAGGGGUUACCCGCAGAAGAAGCACCGGCUAACUCCGUGCCAGCAGCCGAGGUAAUAC
rnacentral:rRNA from 1 species